CAGUCGAGCGGUANCAUUUCUAGCUUGCUAGAAGAUGACGAGCGGCGGACGGGUGAGUAAUACUUAGGAAUCUACCUAGUAGUGGGGGAUAGCUCGGGGAAACUCGAAUUAAUACCGCAUACGUCCUACGGGAGAAAGGGGGCAACUUGUUGCUCUCGCUAUUAGAUGAGCCUAAGUCGGAUUAGCUAGAUGGUGGGGUAAAGGCCUACCAUGGCGACGAUCUGUAGCUGGUCUGAGAGGAUGAUCAGCCACACCGGGACUGAGACACGGCCCGGACUCCUACGGGAGGCAGCAGUGGGGAAUAUUGGACAAUGGGGGAAACCCUGAUCCAGCCAUGCCGCGUGUGUGAAGAAGGCCUUUUGGUUGUAAAGCACUUUAAGCAGUGAAGAAGACUCUUCGGUUAAUACCCGGAGACGAUGACAUUAGCUGCAGAAUAAGCACCGGCUAACUCUGUGCCAGCAGCCGCGGUAAUACAGAGGGUGCAAGCGUUAAUCGGAAUUACUGGGCGUAAAGCGAGCGUANGUGGCUUGAUAAGUCAGAUGUGAAAUCCCCGGGCUUAACCUGGGAACUGCAUCUGAAACUGUUANGCUAGAGUANGUGAGAGGGAAGUAGAAUUUCNNGUGUAGCGGUGAAAUGCGUAGAGAUCUGAANNAAUACCGAUGGCNNANGGCAGCUUCCUGGNAUCAUACUGACACUGAGGCUCGAAAGC
rnacentral:rRNA from 1 species